GCCCGCUUAGCUCAGCUGGAAGAGCACAUCCAUGGUAAGGAUGGGGUCAGCAGUUCGAAUCUGCUAGCGGGCUCCA
rnacentral:tRNA from 1 species